GACGAACGCUGGCGGCGUGCUUAACACAUGCAAGUCGAACGGAAAGGCCCUGCUUUUGUGGGGUGCUCGAGUGGCGAACGGGUGAGUAACACGUGAGUAACCUGCCCUUGACUUUGGGAUAACUUCAGGAAACUGGGGCUAAUACCGGAUAGGAGCUCCUGCUGCAUGGUGGGGGUUGGAAAGUUUCGGCGGUUGGGGAUAGACUCGCGGCUUAUCCGCUUGUUGGUGGGGUAGUGGCUUACCAAGGCUUUGACGGAUAGCCGGCCUGAGAGGGUGACCGGGCACAAUGGGACUGAGAGACGGCGCAGACUCCUACGGGAGGCAGAAGGCGGGAAUAUGACACAAUAGGCGGAAGCCUGAUACAGCAACGCCGCGUGCGGGAUGACGGCCUUCGGGGUGUAAACCGCUGUCGCCUGUGACGAAGCGUGAGUGACGGUAAUGAGUAAAGAAGCACCGGCUAACUACGUG
rnacentral:rRNA from 1 species